rnacentral:lncRNA from 1 species
CCUCUAUAAUUAUGUCAUUUCUAUUCAAAGAAAGAUUAGGAGUCAUCCAACUCCAGUCGAAGCUCCAUGGGUAGUCGGCGGUAAUGUAGAAAAACUUGCUCUUCCACCCGUGAAUAGAAAAGGAAAACUUUUUGAAAAGCUGUUGAUGGGGCCGAGGAUAGAAGAACCACCAUCCCUGCUCUUGGAGAUGUUUCUUCAAUACAAAAAUGGCUCGAAGUAAAGAAACUCAGGGCUCAACCC